GGAUUAGAUACCCUGGUAGUCCACGCCGUAAACGAUGUCUACUAGGAGCUCGGUCUUUCGGGACUGUUUUCCAAAGCUAACGCAUUAAGUAGACCGCCUGGGGAGUACGGCCGCAAGGUUAAAACUCAAAUGAAUUGACGGGGGCCCGCACAAGCGGUGGAGCAUGUGGUUUAAUUCGAUGCAACGCGAAGAACCUUACCUACACUUGACAUACAGAGAACUUACUAGAGAUAGUUUGGUGCCUUCGGGAGCUCUGAUACAGGUGCUGCAUGGCUGUCGUCAGCUCGUGCCG
rnacentral:rRNA from 1 species